rnacentral:tRNA from 1 species
GUUUAUUGCACCGGUCUUGAAAACCGGCGCCUCACGGCAUCGUGGGUUCGAAUCCCACCCCUUCCG